rnacentral:miRNA from 1 species
CGUGCUUCUCAAUAGGCCAUA